rnacentral:rRNA from 1 species
AAUGAACGUUGGCGGCGUGGAUUAGGCAUGCAAGUCGCGCGACAAGGAACCUUCGGGUUCUGGAGGAGCGGCAAACGGGGUAGUAAGGCAUCGGAACGUACCCUCUUGUUGGGAAUAGCCGCGGGAAACUGCGAGUAAUGCCCAAUAAUCCCUACGGGGCAAAGGUCCGCCGCAGGAGGAGCGGCCGAUGUGAUACCAGCUAGUUGGUGAGGUAAUGGCUCACCAAGGCUUAGACGUCUAGGGGGUGUGAGAGCAUGGCCCCCACACUGGGACUGAGAUACUGCCCAGACACCUACGGGUGGCUGCAGUCGAGAAUCUUCGGCAAUGGGCGCAAGCCUGACCGAGCAACGCCGCGUGCGGG